GAUGAACGCUGGCGGCGUGCCUAAUACAUGCAAGUCGAACGCUUUGUGGUUCAACUGAUUUGAAGAGCUUGCUCAGAUAUGACGAUGGACAUUGCAAAGAGUGGCGAACGGGUGAGUAACACGUGGGAAACCUACCUCUUAGCAGGGGAUAACAUUUGGAAACAGAUGCUAAUACCGUAUAACAAUGACAACCGCAUGGUUGUUAUUUAAAAGAUGGUUCUGCUAUCACUAAGAGAUGGUCCCGCGGUGCAUUAGCUAGUUGGUAAGGUAAUGGCUUACCAAGGCGAUGAUGCAUAGCCGAGUUGAGAGACUGAUCGGCCACAAUGGGACUGAGACACGGCCCAUACUCCUACGGGAGGCAGCAGUAGGGAAUCUUCCACAAUGGGCGAAAGCCUGAUGGAGCAACGCCGCGUGUGUGAUGAAGGGUUUCGGCUCGUAAAACACUGUUGUAAGAGAAGAAUGACAUUGAGAGUAACUGUUCAAUGUGUGACGGUAUCUUACCAGAAAGGAACGGCUAAAUACGUGCCAGCAGCCGCGGUAAUACGUAUGUUCCAAGCGUUAUCCGGAUUUAUUGGGCGUAAAGCGAGCGCAGACGGUUAUUUAAGUCUGAAGUGAAAGCCCUCAGCUCAACUGAGGAAUUGCUUUGGAAACUGGAUGACUUGAGUGCAGUAGAGGAAAGUGGAACUCCAUGUGUAGCGGUGAAAUGCGUAGGUAUAUGGAAGAACACCAGUGGCGAAGGCGGCUUUCUGGACUGUAACUGACGUUGAGGCUCGAAAGUGUGGGUAGCAAACAGGAUUAGAUACCCUGGUAGUCCACACCGUAAACGAUGAGUGCUAGGUGUUUGAGGGUUUCCGCCCUUAAGUGCCGCAGCUAACGCAUUAAGCACUCCGCCUGGGGAGUACGACCGCAAGGUUGAAACUCAAAGGAAUUGACGGGGACCCGCACAAGCGGUGGAGCAUGUGGUUUAAUUCGAAGCAACGCGAAGAACCUUACCAGGUCUUGACAUCCCUUGACAACUCCAGAGAUGGAGCGUUCCCUUCGGGGACAAGGUGACAGGUGGUGCAUGGUUGUCGUCAGCUCGUGUCGUGAGAUGUUGGGUUAAGUCCCGCAACGAGCGCAACCCUUAUUACUAGUUGCCAGCAUUCAGUUGGGCACUCUAGUGAGACUGCCGGUGACAAACCGGAGGAAGGUGGGGAUGACGUCAAAUCAUCAUGCCCCUUAUGACCUGGGCUACACACGUGCUACAAUGGCGUAUACAACGAGUUGCCAACCCGCGAGGGUGAGCUAAUCUCUUAAAGUACGUCUCAGUUCGGAUUGUAGGCUGCAACUCGCCUACAUGAAGUCGGAAUCGCUAGUAAUCGCGGAUCAGCACGCCGCGGUGAAUACGUUCCCGGGUCUUGUACACACCGCCCGUCACACCAUGAGAGUUUGUAACACCCAAAGCCGGUGGGGUAACCUUCGGGAGCCAGCCGUCUAAGGUGGGACAGAUGAUUAGGGUG
rnacentral:rRNA from 1 species